GACGAACGCUGGCGGCGUGCUUAACACAUGCAAGUCGAACGGAAAGACCCUGCUUUUGUGGGGUGCUCGAGUGGCGAACGGGUGAGUAACACGUGAGUAACCUGCCCUUGACUUUGGGAUAACUUCAGGAAACUGGGGCUAAUACCGGAUAGGAUCUCCUGCUGCAUGUGGGGGGUUGGAAAGUUUCGGCGGUUGGGGAUGGACUCGCGGCUUAUCAGCUUGUUUGUGUGGUAGUUGCUUACCAAGGCUUUGACGGGUAGCCGGCCUGAGAGGGUGAACGGCCACCUUGGGACUGAGAUACGGCCCAGACUCCUACGGGAGGCAGCAGGGGGGAAUAUUGCACAAUGGGCGGAAGCCUGAUGCAGAAACGCCGGGUGCGGGAUAACGGCCUUCGGGUUGUAAACAGCUUUCGAAUGUACCGAAGCGUGAGUGACGGUAAUGGGUAAAGAAGCACCGGCUAACUACGUG
rnacentral:rRNA from 1 species